rnacentral:rRNA from 1 species
UACGUAGGGGGCAAGCGUUGUCCGGAUUUAUUGGGCGUAAAGAGCGUGUAGGCGGCUUUGCAAGUCCGUUGUGAAAACUCGAGGCUCAACCUCGAGACGCCGGUGGAAACUGCAAAGCUAGAGUCCGGAAGAGGAGAGUGGAAUUCCUGGUGUAGCGGUGAAAUGCGCAGAUAUCAGGAAGAACACCCGUGGCGAAGGCGGCUCUCUGGGACGGUACUGACGCUGAGGAACGAAAGCCAGGGGAGCAAACGGG